rnacentral:lncRNA from 1 species
CUUCUUUCAAUUUAAUUCCAGUGUGUCUUAUCUAGUUUUAAUUGCUGUAAUUGGAUACAUUCUAGUGUCCAUAAGUCAUUUGAUUCUGUGUAUUAAAAUUUGGAUGGUGGAGUUGCUAAUUUUGUUNCAUAAUNUCACUCUUAACACCACCAGUUUUAAUNAAUAAUUGUUUGAAAGCAAGCUGCAUAAAUUCCAUUUGAUUGAUUAAUCNGAUUUGGUGCCUGUUAAUUACCUACACUUGUAGCAAAAGCUUGGUCCAGUGAAUUGAACAUUUCCAAAAGAAAAGAAAAGAUGAAAGUAAUAUCAUAAAAGCAAUUNUGUAUCAAGUAAAAAGCUGACUGGUCGUGCAAGUGAAGAUCACAAACUUUGGUGCACCAAAUUGAAUUAUUUUCUCAGGCAAUACAUCAAACAGUCUCAAAUUUUAUUUGAAUUACUCUAAUGCGGCUUGUUUGGGUUUAUUGCUUUUAAAUCUGUCUAGUGCUAUGCUUAGGAUUCUGUUUGUGUGCUAGCCUUUCUAAUUAGCUUUGUUUCUUGCUUGUCUUCAUUGAUUUGUCUUGGUUUUGUCUCAUCACAUGUGCAAUCUAUUAUGCCAUUCUUUAAUUGACCUUUUGUUGUUUUUGCAAUCUGUUCUAGAGUUAAUCUUGAGUCAGUUUAUCUGUUGUGCUGUCAGUUUUCCUUAUCUGGUGCUUACCUUGUUGUUGGUUGUUCUGUUCUGUCAUCCCUUAGCCAAGCCAUUUCCUGUUUGUGAAGCUGAUAUCACUUUGGUUUUUGGAAAUUGAAAGAGAGGUAUUUGUGAAUGGUAGCCUCUUAGGUGGAAGUGAUCCAC